CACCAGGGAUGGAAAUUAACUUUUUUGCCCACCAGCCACUGUGGCAGGUAGAUUUAAAAAUCUACCAGCUACUCAUCUUUUUUACCAGCCACUUUUUACACGCUAUAUAUAUUUUUUAUAUUAUUUUCAAUAAAAAACAAAUUGACAUAUUAACAAUAAAACAACAUGCAUGGCUACACCAUCAUAA